rnacentral:tRNA from 1 species
GCCUGGGUAGCUCAGUCUGUUGAGUGUCUGACUUCAGCUCAGGUCAUGAUAUCGGGGUUCAUGAGUUUGAGCCUCAUAUCGGGCU